rnacentral:rRNA from 1 species
CAAGGAAUCUUCGGCAAUGGACGCAAGCCUGACCGAGCAACGCCGCGUGGAGGACGACGGCCUUCGGGUUGUAAACUCCUUUUUGGGGGGAUGAUACGGACAGUACCCCCAGAAUCAGCCCCGGCUAACUCUGUGCCAGCAGCCGCGGUAAUACAGAGGGGGCAAGCGUUGUCCGGAUUUACUGGGCGUACUGCGCGCGCAGGCGGCCGCGUAUGUGACCGGUGACAUCCUCGGGCUCAACCCGAGGCGGCCCGGUUAGACAGCGUAGCUGGAGGCAGGGAGAGGGAUGUGGAAUACCCGGUGGAGCGGUGAAAUGCGUAGAGAUCGGGUGGAACACCAGCGGCGAAGGCGGCUCACUGGACCGGAACUGACGCUGAGGCGCGAAAGCGUGGGGAGCAAA